UACAGAGGUCUCAAGCGUUGUUCGGAUUCAUUGGGCGUAAAGGGUGCGUAGGUGGCGCUGUAAGUCGGGUGUGAAAUUUCGGAGCUUAACUCCGAAACUGCAUUCGAUACUGCGGUGCUUGAGGACUGGAGAGGAGACUGGAAUUCAUGGUGUAGCAGUGAAAUGCGUAGAGAUCAUGAGGAAGACCAGUGGCGAAGGCGGGUCUCUGGACGACUCCUGACACUGAGGCACGAAAGCCAGGGGAGCAAACAGG
rnacentral:rRNA from 1 species